CUUAAUCGGUUGCUGGAGUCCUCACUAAAAUGAAACUUCUAGGUUUCUAAAGAUGCACCAUGCCGAUUAAUUGUAUGCUACUGAUGAUUCGCUGUUCAUAAUGCAGCCUUGCAUUUCCGUUUAAAUCGGUUUUAUUGACUUCGUUUAGCACUGAUGCUAAAGAAGGUUCAAGGACUUUGCAAAUAGCCAGCAGCAGCCAGUGAGGGUCUGUGUCCCCCCUGGAAGAUGCAGGACCUUCGUGCUCCAGAACACCGUACUCCACAUCUUCCGCACCCAAAUUUCAGACGCCGCCGCCGCCGCUCCCUUUCGGCAUCCCCUCCUCAGUGCGGCGCGGGCACGUGGCCGUCCACGUAGAAAUUUCGGGUGAUCUUGGGAAGAGUCACCUCAAGGCCGUCCAUCUCGCGGGUCAGAAUGAUCUGACAGCCCAGCCGAGAGUUCUCCUGCAGCAUGGGGGCCAUGUCCAGCAUGUCGUCCUCCCUGUGAAUCCGGAAGAUCGGGUGGAAACGAAUGGAUGUGCUUCUGGUUUUGGAUUGAGCUGAAUACGUAACUGUCUGGAUCUUGAGGAACAGAUUGACAAAACAACGGAGAUCACUCAGACUGCAGUGAAAUCAUUUUAACAGAUCCGCAUGCGGCCAUCUUUUCCUUCUCCUUCUUGUUCUGACUUUCAGCUGAAGGCCUGUUUUACGAUGGAGCAGAGCCUUAUGUCCUCCAAACCGCAAAUACAUUCCACCCACAUGAAAGGGUAACCCGGCAAAAUAACAGAGAGUACAUAUGGAUUAAACACAGCAGUCAAAAUGAAAUUAAACUGACAUGGUUGUCACUAUUAUGAUAAAGAGCAUGUGCUGUCCUUCA